rnacentral:rRNA from 1 species
CACGUAGGGCGCAAGCGUUGUCCGGAAUUAUUGGGCGUAAAGAGCUCGUAGGCGGACUGUCACGUCCGCUGUGAAAAGCUAGGGCUUAACCCUGGCCUUGCAGUGGAUACGGGCAGACUAGAGGUAGGUAGGGGAGAAUGGAAUUCCCGGCGUAGCGGUGAAAUGCGUAGAUAUCUGGAGGAACACCGGUGGCGAAGGCGGCAUCCUGGACCAACACUGACGCUGAGUGAGCGAAAGCCAGGGGAGCAAACGGG